rnacentral:rRNA from 1 species
CCGUGGUAAUCGCCCCCCUUGCGGUUAGGCUAACUACUUCUGGUAAAACCCACUCCCAUGGUGUGACGGGCGGUGUGUACAAGACCCGGGAACGUAUUCACCGCGACAUGCUGAUCCGCGAUUACUAGCGAUUCCGACUUCACGCAGUCGAGUUGCAGACUGCGAUCCGGACUACGAUCGGGUUUCUGGGAUUGGCUCCCCCUCGCGGGUUGGCGACCCUCUGUCCCGACCAUUGUAUGACGUGUGAAGCCCUACCCAUAAGGGCCAUGAGGACUUGACGUCAUCCCCACCUUCCUCCGGUUUGUCACCGGCAGUCUCAUUAGAGUGCCCUUUCGUAGCAACUAAUGACAAGGGUUGCGCUCGUUGCGGGACUUAACCCAACAUCUCACGACACGAGCUGACGACAGCCAUGCAGCACCUGUGUUCCGGUUCUCUUGCGAGCACUGCCAAAUCUCUUCGGCAUUCCAGACAUGUCAAGGGUAGGUAAGGUUUUUCGCGUUGCAUCGAAUUAAUCCACAUCAUCCACCGCUUGUGCGGGUCCCCGUCAAUUCCUUUGAGUUUUAAUCUUGCGACCGUACUCCCCAGGCGGUCAACUUCACGCGUUAGCUGCGCUACCAAGG